rnacentral:rRNA from 1 species
GAUGAACGCUGGCGGCGUGCCUAAUACAUGCAAGUCGAGCGAACAGACGAGGAGCUUGCUCCUCUGACGUUAGCGGCGGACGGGUGAGUAACACGUGGAUAACCUACCUAUAAGACUGGGAUAACUUCGGGAAACCGGAGCUAAUACCGGAUAAUAUAUUGAACCGCAUGGUUCAAUAGUGAAAGACGGUUUUGCUGUCACUUAUAGAUGGAUCCGCGCCGCAUUAGCUAGUUGGUAAGGUAACGGCUUACCAAGGCAACGAUGCGUAGCCGACCUGAGAGCGUGAUCGGCCACACUGGUACUGAGACACGGUCCAGACUCCUACGGGAGGCAGCAGUAGGGAAUCUUCCGCAAUGGGCGAAAGCCUGACGGAGCAACGCCGCGUGAGUGAUGAAGGUCUUCGGAUCGUAAAACUCUGUUAUUAGGGAAGAACAAAUGUGUAAGUAACUAUGCACGUCUUGACGGUACCUAAUCAGAAAGCCACGGCUAACUACGUG